UACGAGGAGGGCAAACGUUGUUCGGAUUUACUGGGCUUAAAGGGCGCGUAGGCCGCCGCAUAUGUCGGGGUUGAAAUCCCUCAGCUUAACUGAGGAAUUGGUUCCGAAACUGUGCGGCUUGAAUACAUCAGGGGCAUGUGGAACUCCAGGUGGAGCGGUGAAAUGCGUAGAUAUCUGGAGGAACGCCGGUGGCGAAAGCGACAUGCUGGGGUGUUAUUGACGCUGAGGCGCGAAAGCUAGGGGAG
rnacentral:rRNA from 1 species